GGGGAAAUUGGAAGGCACUUGAAAAGCUUUGAGCUCAAAUGUUGUGAAAGAAAAAUACAUGAGAAAAAGAAAAAGAAAAGAAGAAAAAGCAUGAAGAGGGGCUCAAUGCAAAAGAAAAGGGAAAAAAUUGGGAAUAAGUGAGAUUGGUGAGGAAGAGAGUUGUUCUUAAAUGUUGAAUACUAUGGUAGCUCUCUUAACUCAAGGACUUUAUAUUCCAG
rnacentral:lncRNA from 1 species